GGUAGUGACUCAGCAUGAUGCUGGAGUCGCACCAGGGUUCGAGUAACGAAAUUGGUACCCCGAGUGAGAAGGAAAAAUUGUUUCCUCUCGACUUCCAUCGAGUGAUGAUGGUUGGCUUCCACUGAGUGUCAAUGGAAGAUGAAUGACAAAGGAGUUUAUUGUGACUCCGUCAUGACCAGACUGCAGUCUGGUGUCCGGGUCUUCCCUGAAGUGAAGAUUCGGGGUCGGGAAUGUUUAUCACAGAGAAUCAUGCCUCUGGUGAUAGCCGAAAUGAGGUAAUCCAAAUUACCUCUUUUUUUAUAAAAGACAGAGAAUCAACUUCUGUUACUACAAACGAGGAACAGAGCAUCACCUUAAUUAUCUGCAAAUUAAAAGACAUUGACUUGUUCUUUGAAUAGUGUGUUUGGCUGAUUCAUUCAAACUUCCCAUCAUACUACUACUAAACCGACUCUGACCAGUGCAAAAAAUACCAGCUUUCCACCAAAAUUCACUAUUUCGUUUCAUAUUAUUCUGAUUUCUGAAUAUAUGCAACUAUAAUAUAUUAUGA
rnacentral:sRNA from 1 species